AAUAGAUACCCCGGUAGUCCACGCCGUAAACGAUGCUUACUCGUUUUUGGGGCAUUACGCUUCAGAGACCAAGCGAAAGUGAUAAGUAAGCCACCUGGGGAGUACGUUCGCAAGAAUGAAACUCAAAGGAAUUGACGGGGGCCCGCACAAGCGGUGGAUUAUGUGGUUUAAUUCGAUGAUACGCGAGGAACCUUACCAAGACUUAAAUGGGAAUUGACAGACGCAGAAAUGUGUUUUUCUUCGGACAAUUUUCAAGGUGCUGCAUGGUUGUCGUCAGCUCGUGCCGUGAGGUGUUAGGUUAAGUCCUGCAACGAGCGCAACCCCUGUCACUAGUUGCUACCAUUAAGUUGAGGACUCUAGUGAGACUGCCUACGCAAGUAGAGAGGAAGGUGGGGAUGACGUCAAAUCAUCACGGCCCUUACGUCUUGGGCCACACACGUAAUACAAUGGCCGGUACAGAGGGCAGCUACACUGCGAAGUGAUGCGAAUCUCGAAAGCCGGUCUCAGUUCGGAUUGGAGUCUGCAACUCGACU
rnacentral:rRNA from 1 species